UAAAGGCAGUAAUGUCAUAGCCGAGUGAUACUAAUUACCCAUAGGCCUAUCGU
rnacentral:rRNA from 1 species